AUGAUGGUGACUCAGUCCUUUCAGGCUGUCUGUGUGUACCUUAACUUUUUCAGGAGGAGGAGAUGGCCGCCGUUUUACGGUCUCCUAACCAAUUGUGCUAUCGUUUCUGCAACCGUAUCUUACGGAAGAAAAGAGCUUCUGGAUAUCAGGACAGCGAUCACUAACCUCGGAUUAGACAAAGACUUCUUCAACAACAACAACAAGCAGGACUCAUACGAUAUUCUCCAAACAACCCACGGGGCAGACAUCCCAAUUAUUCGCAAAAGGAAGCGACGCAGAGGACGAAGAGCCGGAUGCCUUGUCCGGACCCGCAGAAGACAACUAGGAAAGCUGCCAUUACCGUCAAUAUUACUUGCCAACAUGCAAUCAUUGGGCAAUAAACUAGACGAGGUACGAUUACGAAUAUCCUACCGGGACAUCAAAAACUGUAAUAUCCUAUGCUUCACGGAAUCGUGGCUGAAUGACGACAUGGAUAUUCAGCUAGCGGGAUACACGCUGCACCAGCAGGAUAGAACAGCACAGUCCGGUAAAACGAGGGGCGGCGGUCUGUGCAUAUUUGUAAACAACAGCUGGUGCAUGAAAUCUAAGGAAGUCUCUAGAUUUCGCUCGCCUGAAGUAGAGUAUAUUGUGAUAAAAUGCAGGCCACACUACUUGCCUAGAGAGUUCUCAGCUAUACUUUUCAUGGCUGUUUAUUUACCACCACAGACAGAUGCUGGCACGAAGACCGCACUCAGUCAGCUGUAUAACGAAAUAAGCAAACAGGAAUCCACUCACCCAGAGGCGGCGCUCCUAGUGUUCGGAGACUUUAAUGCAGGGAAACUUAAAUCAGUUCUACCAAAUCUCUAUCAACAUGUUAAAUGUGCAACCAGAGGGAAAAAGAGUCUAGAUCACCUGUACUUCACACACAGAGAUGCGUACAAAGCUCUCCCUCGCCCUCCAUUUGGUAAAUCCGACCACAACUCUAUCCUCCUGAUUAAAUUAAAGCAGGAAGCACCAGUGACUCGGUCUAUAAAAAAAUGGUCAGAUGAAGCAGAUGCUAAACUACAGGACUGCUUUGCUAUCACAGACUGGAACAUGUUCCGGGAUUUUUCUGAUGACAUUGAGGAAUACACCACAUCAGUCACGGGCUUUAUCAAUAAGUGCAUUGAGGACGUUGUCCCCACAGUGACUGUACGUACAUACCCCAACCAGAAGCCAUGGAUUACAGGCAACAUUCGCACUGAGCUAAAGGGUAGAGCUGCCGCUUUCAAGGUGCGGGACUCUAACCCGGAAGCUUACAAUAAAUCCCACUAUGCCCUGCGACGAACCAUCAAACAGGCAAAGCCGUCAAUACAGGGCUAA
rnacentral:lncRNA from 1 species